GGAUUGACGGGGGCCCGCACAAGCGGCGGAGCAUGUGGUUAUUUGAAGCAACGNGAAGACCUUACCAAGGCUUGACAUACACCGGAAAGCAUCAGAGAUGGUGCCCCCNUUGUGGUCGGUGUACAGGUGGUGCAUGGCUGUCGUCAGCUCGUGUCGUGAGAUGUUGGGUUAAGUCCCGCAACGAGCGCAACCNUUGUUCUGUGUUGCCAGCAUGCCCUUCGGGGUGAUGGGGACUCACAGGAGACUGCCGGGGUCAACUCGGAGGAAGGUGGGGACGACGUCAAGUCAUCAUGCCCCUUAUGUCUUGGGCUGCACACGUGCUACAAUGGCCGGUACAAUGAGCUGCGAUACCGCGAGGUGGAGCGAAUCUCAAAAAGCCGGUCUCAGUUCGGAUUGGGGUCUGCAACUCGACCCCAUGAAGUCGGAGUCGCUAGUAAUCGCAGAUCAGCAUUGCUGCGGUGAAUACGUUCCCGGGCCUUGUACACACCGCCCGUCACGUCACGAAAGUCGGUAACACCCGAAGCCGGUGGCCCAACCCCUUGUGGGAGGGAAUCGUCGAAGGUGGGACUGGCGAUUGGACGAAGU
rnacentral:rRNA from 1 species